UUUCGGGAAUCGACUGUUGUGCUGAAGACUGUUGGCCUACGGUUAUAUACGCAAAUACACUCUGCGCAGGUGCAGCCGGCGAAAUGAGAGCACCACACACGCACGCACACUCUUUCUCCCCCACUCUCUCUCUCUCUCUCUAUCUGUCUCUCUCAGUCUGUUUCUCUGCGUGAAAACGAGAGUAAAAGACCUUGAAUUCUGAUAACGGUUAUGUGUGUAAACAAUGACGAGGCGAAGAGAGCUUUUGCUUCCCAAAGCUCCAGCUUUAGCGACAGCUGCGCUCUCUGGCGCGCUCUCGCAGCCGCUCUUAUGGCUUGGUCUUGGACGUGACUUCGUCUAUAGCCUGCUCCGAGUGGAGUGUUGUAAUCGCUACAAAAAGCUUAUGGCAAUAAAUGUUAUAAAUCUUAAUGCCGAAAAAAUUAAAAAAUAAAGGCAAGCCCCAGCGGCAGCCGCAUUUAAGCAAUGCAAAUUAAUAGCACGCAAUGGGAAAUCAAAGAAACCAAAUAAACGAAAUAAUGUGGCAGACCUCCCCUUCCCGCGACGCCCUUUUUGACCAUCUUCCUGGGGACCGAUUGCCGGAUGGCCGGUUUGGAUUUUGAUUUUUGGGAAUUCUUAUUGUUCAAUAGCCAAAGCCGAAGGUCGUCACGUUUUUGUAUACCUAUACCUAUAUACCUAUUCGGGACUGAAGAUGUUUUGAUAUGCCAGGUGGUGUCGCAUUAAUUAGAUGGUUUUAAAUGUAAUUCGUUGGCUUCGAUAGCACCCAAACUCGGUUAAGGGCAAUGCUCGGGGACGUGCCUAUGCCUAUGCCUACGGCCCAUUGCAUUUCUUCGUGUGCAGCAAUGUGGCAAGCCCCUUGGCCAACACUUGGCCACACCGCCGAAUCAAUUAAAAACAAUAGAAACACAGACUUGACUCCGAACAUUGCGGGCAUUUCUCAUAUCCCAUGUCUGUCUGUCUGCUUUCCGUUUCACUUCCUGGGACAUUGCAAUGGGAGCGGAUCCAUAUAGCCAGAGCCAGAGCCAGAGCUAAAGCCAAAGCAGCAGACAUGCGGAAUACCUCUUUAAAUGGUUCGAUUCAUUUGGCCAAAAGCAAGUUAAUUGCAUGUUGAUUUAAGUUUGAUUUUAUCCGUUUUUUAUUCCCUCUCCUCUCAUCAACUAUGGCAGGGGCUAGCCGAGGUCCACCUGUUGGCCAGAUUAUGGAGCUGUUCCAGGUGCGUGCGCGGUCUGGUUCCGUUUCACUUAGUGGGAAGUCCACGACAACCAGUGGGGGGAGUUUCAUAACGGGCAGUCUAGUACUGUCUGUACUACGACAGGGAAGGGGAUUCAUGUUAAUACACUCGGACUCCUAUGAAGCAGUAGGAAAGCUCCCCCACUUUCUCUGUGGCUCUCCCUUAAUGGCCUGCCAUCUAUUCCCAUUUCCUCUGACAGGCAGUUGUUCCACCCUCCCCCUACCCGGGCCAUAAGGAAGUGCCAAACGGGAUUCACACCAGGAGCCGAGCUCCGCUCCUCCAAUCAUAUUAAUAUUCAUCAAAUCCAGAUAAAUGAAGCUGCCCCAAUCGACAGAGUACGCUAUGCCAGUGUAUGUGUGUGUCCCGCUCCAGGAAGUGCUGUCCGAGCCGCCAAACUGGAAUGCAUUGAGUGCACGAAAUGAAAUGCGUAACCACUUGCCCAUGGCCAUGCGUUCCCCCGCUGCAGCUCUUCGGUUUGGUUUCCAUGUCCUACGCGGCUCGUGCCCCAUGCCCGCUCUAACACUCGCCUCAAUAUCGAUGUUGGACCACUUUUACUUUUCCCCACUUCGUUCGUGGCUCAGCCAUUUGCUGCAGACCUGUGUGUUUAUUUAUUUAUUUAUAUCUCUCAUGAUUAUUCAUCUUAUCGCUGGCGGUAAUCGGUCAAUGUAUGUGGAGCGUUUAGCCAGCCGCAGCUAUAAGGGAGUGCUGGUGGUGGUGAUGUGCCGCGUGUGCAAUUGGUUCCGGCAUGAAAAUUAGAGCAGCAUUUGGCAUGCACUUCCUACCUCCCUCUCCACUUGCUUUGCCCUGCUGUUGCCUGAUUUGAAUGGCCAAGAGAUUGGCAGUACGAUCGACAGAUUGUGUGGGCUGUGCUCACAUAACUCGUCAGGGGUGGGCGUGACAUGGCCCACACACUUACACACUCACAAACUCACACAUGGCAGUAAACGACACCUUCUUAGCCUGUACUGUCGUUUUCAGCCUUUUACUUCCGAUGGACAUUGCUUCCUGCUUGUCCACCAAAAAAUAAGCAAAUGCAGUCGAUGAGGCUGGACGGGCUGCGUUGACAAAACUCACGCACCAUGCCAUGUGGCAAGACUUUGUUGGUGCCGUUGCAUAUCCAUAUAAGGCUGUGGCGCGCCAGUACGGGCACUUGCCCCAGGCUUGCUACAGUUUCCGAAUUUCCCUGAAACCGCAGAUACAGGUAUUUGAAGUGGAUCGAAAUUUAUGAUUUCAUUAUACGCGCAUCACAGGCAAUUUCCCUCUGAAGGUCGUCCGCAACGGUUGUCCUCAUUCGGCGGCAAAACAAAAGACUCUGGGCACGAACCUCUCAUGCAAUUCGUGUCCAUAACAAAGCCCACAGCUGCAUGAGUUAUGUCUUUGCUAUAAAGCCACAACCAAGUGUCAUUUGCAUAGACAUUACUCUUUGGUAGACCCAAACAAAUAAUCAUCAAUCGCACCUCGUUCAUUUUAUUUGACCAGCGAAUACAAAUAAUUUAACGAUCGUAUAAAGAGUCGCAACGGCGCCUGGGGUCGCAGACUAUCUCGGAAAUGCAGCGGGGGAAAACUGGUUACCUUCCAAGUUCGCUGACCCAGAGAGCCCUUCGGUGCGACUUGGGGGGGUUAACCAGGAAACCUGUCACUCGGGGCGGGCUUUGGCUCUUCAAACGAGCUGCACUUAAGUGGGCAUAUCUGUUCGAUUAGCUGCUAAACUGUCUGCAGCAACUGUGAGCCAGUGCGAACGGGUGAUGGGAUGGCAUCAGCGGUCUUGCCUCAGUCAGUCGGUCAACUGCAGUCACGCCUGGCAAUUGACUGGGACAUGCAAACGAAGUGCAACGCGGAUUGCAUAAUUAUACAACUGUCUGCGUCUGCGUCUGCGUCUGCACCACUGCAACAGCAGCAGCCGCACCGGCUCACAACUCCACACUUUUGCCAAUCAAUUUCGUUUCCGUUUUAUUCAUUUUCCAGUUUUUCGCAUGAAACUGCACCCAAAAGUCAAAGGAAAGGUUCAUCAAGGAGUCAGUCCGCAUAUUCGCUAUGGAAGAGCCGGUUUGUUUUUCUUUUGCUGCAUAAAAAGUACAAGUUUUUUCCAACGAUAGCAACACAAACAGAUUAAUCGUAUUCUUUGCCGUUAUUUUAAUUAAAACUCAAUAAAUAUUUAAUACAUUUUAUGAAAUAACCAAUACAUAUUCGUAAAUGUGUCAGUUCAUACACAGAACAUCUCGAAAAACGAUCUUGCUGCGUUCGCUCCAAGGAUCUUCGGCUCUGGCGUUCCCCGCCGGCUCCACCUGGUGAAGGGGCCACCAGGCAGUGAGCCCCUGGGGACAUGAUUCCUGUCGCGCGAGGCUGUGGCCUGGGCGACCUAUGGGGCCGGCCACUGCCAUGGCCCUCUUCCUUGCGUUCCACGCAGCUUUCUCCACCUUUCCAGUGAAAGGGUGAUCCCGCCGUAGCUCCUCGUCCUCUCUGUAAGUCGAAGAGAUGAGUCCUGGCUAGACUAUGGCAGCCACUGACUAGCCUGCUGCGGGCCAUAGCCAUAAUGCAGCUGCUGUGUCGCUGACUCGACUAUGGGGCGUCCCGUCCGCUGCAGCAGGGACCAGGGAUCGACGCCGGAAAUUUUUGAGACACAGGACUUAUGUACCUUGCAAGAUCCGAGCCCAACAAGACAUCGUCAUCCUUCGACCUGGCCAUCGACAACAAGGACUUUGACUACGGCAACCAAAAGAGGAGCUACGCGGGCUAGACUCUAGAUAGAUCUCGUUGUUGUUAGGUUUAAGGAUAUAUGUAUAUUAGAUAGUCCAUAUAUUAAGAUAUUAGAUACAAAUGUUUUCCACUUGUUUAUUUAUUUAUCCUAGGCUAAGUUAUGAUGAAUAAAGCUAUUGAAAAAUAA